rnacentral:lncRNA from 1 species
CCUAAGUCACAUCCUUCUUAUUAAAGCAGCCACAAGCAGAUCAUGCAUUCUGCCUCUCAGCAUGCCUGCACAUAACAAUACUGGCCUGUGUACCUCACUGGACUUUACAUGAAUAAGAGACAGGUCCAGUCCUGCUUUUCAGAAAGAAGUACCAAGAGCUGGUAGGUAGAAAAUCAAAACUCCAUAGAAAGGGGAAAAGGGAUAAGACUACUGUUUGAUGAGUAAGAGAGAACUUUAGAGAAAUUUUUUUUAAAAAAAAAAGUUUCCAACAGGAAAUUUGAAUUGCAAAAUAGAGCGAUCUGGUCACAAUGGUAAACUAAAUUGUUGUUUCAUGACCUUUCCAAAUUCUUGUCAAGUGAAUCAUGGAUAUGUGGGACCAAAGAGGAAGUAAAAGUUCAUAACAGCCAGUAACAUAACUAUAUAGACUUCAAGAACAGACUGUUUAAAAAAAAAUAAGCAGAAUAUCAUUGAAGCCAUUAUUAGAUUCAUGUCACUUAUUAUUCCCCCAAUAUGGCACUGAAUCUUAUUGGCUUCCAUGGGUAAUGUGAGAUUUUUCUGUCAUAAUUUGAUCAAUCCUUCCCUACCUAAGUAAUUGUUAGUCAGCUUCCUAUUACUGUAACAAAAUACCUGAAAUAAUCAGCUUAUAGAGAGAAAAGUUUUAUUUUUGGCUUACAGUUCCAAUGUGGUUCAUUGACCCCAUUGUUUUUAUUUUUUUAGGUUCACUCUUUUUGGAGGUGGGUACCAGGAAUUGAAUCCAGGGACACUCAGCCACUGAGCCACAUCCCCAGCCCUAUUUUUGUAUCUGUUUGGAGACAGAGUCUCACCCAGUUGCUUAGUGCCUCACUUUUGCUGAGGCUGGCUUUGAACUCCAUCCUCCUGUCUCAGCCUCCUGAGUCUCUGGGAUUACAGGCAUGCACCACCUCACUCGGCUGGCCCCAUUGUUUUUGGAUGAGGUAGUACAUCAUGGCAGGGAGCACAUGGUGAGCAAAGCUGCACACCUCAUGGUGGCCAAGGAACAGAGACAGGGAGAAUAGGGACUGGAGCCCUAUUACUCCCUUCAAGAACAUGCUCCCGGUGACCUGGAAAGCUCCCACUAGGCUCCAUCUCUUAAUGUCCACCACCUCUCAAUGUCCAUCACCUCUCAAUGUACACCACUUCUCAAUAGCCCCAAGCUGGGGACUAAGCCUUUAACACAUGAGCCUUUGAGGAACAUUCAAGAUCCAAACUAUUGCCGUAAGUAAAUAACAGGGAACACUGUUUAUGCCUAAUAGAUUGGAAAAAUUUUGAGAUUGCUAAUACUGGUAUUAUUAAUGUAUGGGUAACAUACUCUCACCCAGCAAUGGGAGUAGAUCAGCCUCUGAAGAUCGUAAUUUUGCAAUGUACAUUCAGUUUCUUAACAAGAAUUUAUGCUAAGGAAAUAACUGGAAAAGUGUAUAAAAAUGUUUAUUACAAUGUUAUUCAAAAUCUCGGAAGCCUGGGUCCAUUGGCCCCAUUGUUUUUAUUUUUGGAAACUACUACCAUGGAAACUACUAUCAAUAGAGAGUCCAUUAAAUAAAUUUACAGUACAUCUCUACAAGGAAAUAUAUUUACCUGCAGAUUUUAGAAUAACAAUGAAGAUCAAUAUUUAAUGUGUGUUGUCUUACAAUCAGUGUUUGUGUUGCUAGAGAAAAUAAAGGUGUGUUCACUUUGAGAAAUAAUCUAACAAAGGAAAAGGAAAAAAAUUAAUCUUUUAUACCCAUUUCUUUUUAAUAAAUGAGAACUUUUUUUUUUUUACUGCUAUUAACUUUCUUUCAGGUUUUAGUUUAGAGUAUUCAUUAGUGUGGUGAGCAUUCGAGAAAUGGGCCAGUUCUUAGGCUCUUUGGGAAGCUUUUAGUCUAUGCAGAAGAAACAGCUUUGGAUUCCCCCUCCCCCUCCCAAUCCUGCAUAUUAAAAUCCCUGUAUUUGAAUUCAUGUCUUCCUUACCCUGUUACAAAAAGGUUCAUAUAAAAUUUCUUUAAGUAGCCAAUUCUCCUUGCAUGUAUAAAAUUUUUUGACUAGAAAAAUUAUAUUGAAUCAUAGUAGUUCAUUUGCUGCAUAUACGUGUGAGGUGUAAUAUAAACAGCGUAAGUGAUAUAAUAAAAGAGUGAUCAGAACAAAGUGAAAUUUGCCAGGAAAAAAACUUAUUCAUUUAGUACACAAAUAUAUUUUUAGCCCCUUUUGUGUUCUGGGCACUAGAACACUGGCGAUACAAAGGCAGAAGACCAUAGCCCUUCUUAGGAAAACCUUACAGGAAAAUAAUACAGAGUUAUAUGCAAAGUGAAUUGAAAACUUACAGAAAGUAAUGCCAAAGUCUUACUGAGAGACUAGCUUUCACAGAGUGUGAUUGGGCAUAAAUAGGUCAAGGGGGCAAAAGCAACCUUCAUCAUCCUUAAUAAAAGCAAAAUGCUUUUGGCAAAGACUAGCACACUACUGUGUAUUGGUGUCAAGAUGAUGUGGGAUAGGAUCUCCAAGCCAGAUAAGAGGAGGCUGUGGUAUCAGGGAAGUGGAAGGACAGGCAUCUUUGUAUGGAUUAUGACAUGGCCUGUUGGAUGGGUACAGGUAUCAGCCUUGUAUCAGAAUAGAAUAGAACACAUCUGGUCCAAUCUCCUUAAUCUACAAGUAGAAGAAGAAAGGAAAGAAGGGGAGUGAAGGAAUUUGGGAGGACUAAAGAGAAAAGAAAAAAAAAUGUCUGAGAUUGCCAGGAACUUAACAACUUCCUUCUUAAUAAAUGAUUGAAUGUAAUGUUCUAUGUAAUGGCAUUUGUAUAUCUCUGUAAAACCAAUGGGAAGGUUUCUUUUGUUAAUCUGGAUAGCAGAAAUUGUAGGCUAUGUUCCCUAGCUCUAGCUCGUGGUUCUUAUAUUUAUAUAGUCAAAGGUCAAAAGCUGACUAAGAACAGAUGAGCUCCUUCCUUUUGCAUCAUUUUUCAACCUUUCAAAGGGCUUAAAAUAAACUAUCAUUUUUUCCAUUAUUUACUUAAGAGAUUUGUUUUUCAGAAUUCAUAGUUCUUGGAACCCCCUCCCCCCGCCCCGCAUCAUACUUAUGAAGUAUACAAUCUGACUCCUACUCAUCUAUCAAUACCUAAGGGAUGCUAGCAUUAAGAUGCAUGCUUUAAAUCACCCAAAACAGUAAGAAGGCCAAAUUGACCAGUAAUGUUUGUGAUUUUCCAUAAGUAUCUCUCACGUGUAGAAUCAGGAAAUCUCCUUGAGACAGAGGACAAUAGAGAAAUUCAUCAAAGAAAAGAAAGUCGGCCCUUAUCAGGGACCAUGCUUGCAGAAGGACGCAAACAGCAGGCCAGUUUCACUUUUUGCAACCACGUACGAAUAUACCAUGAGAC